AUGCCAACGAUCCAAGCGGGCGGCCUCGACAACCCUUUUUCUGAAGAAGAAAUCUGGGAGGCGAUCAAGGCUUCACGCCUGGAGAAGGCGCCUGGGCCCGAUGGCUUCACGGGAAUCUUCUUUAGAACCUGCUGGCCGCUGAUCAAGGCAGAUAUCCUACAAGCUUUCAACAAGUUCUAUCACCUUGUAGGGGGAGGUUUCAACAAUCUGAACUCUGCCAUAGUAGCUCUAAUCCCAAAAAAAGACGGUGCAGAGAAGAUUCAAGACUUCAGACCAAUCAGCCUGAUCCACUCAGUUGCAAAACUAAUUGCUAAAGUGCUCUCAAUGAGACUAUCAGCAGUAAUCCACCACGUGAUCUCGCCGGCUCAAUCUGCUUUCCUGAAGUCCAAAAGCACGCUCGACAGUUAUCUGUUUGUCCAGAACGCUGUCAGA
rnacentral:rRNA from 1 species